AGUGAACGCUGGCGGUAGGCCUAACACAUGCAAGUCGAACGGCAGCACAGUAAGAGCUUGCUCUUACGGGUGGCGAGUGGCGGACGGGUGAGGAAUACAUCGGAAUCUACUUUUUCGUGGGGGAUAACGUAGGGAAACUUACGCUAAUACCGCAUACGACCUACGGGUGAAAGCAGGGGAUCUUCGGACCUUGCGCGAAUGAAUGAGCCGAUGUCGGAUUAGCUAGUUGGCGGGGUAAAGGCCCACCAAGGCGACGAUCCGUAGCUGGUCUGAGAGGAUGAUCGGCCACACUGGAACUGAGACACGGUCCAGACUCCUACGGGAGGCAGAAGUGGGGAAUAUUGGACAAUGGGCGCAAGCCUGAUCCAGCCAUACCGCGUGGGUGAAGAAGGCCUUCGGGUUGUAAAGCCCUUUUGUUGGGAAAGAAAAGCGGCAGGUUAAUACCCCGCUGUUCUGACGGUACCCAAAGAAUAAGCACCGGCUAACUUCGUG
rnacentral:rRNA from 1 species